ensembl:snRNA U6 U6 spliceosomal RNA
GAGCUUGCUUAGCAGCAUGUACACUAAAAUUGGAACAAUACAAGGAAGACUAGCAGGGCCCCUUCACAAAGAGAAUGUGCAAAUUUUUCCAUAUUUUU